rnacentral:rRNA from 1 species
AUUGGGUAGGGGAGCGUUCUGUAAGCGGUUGAAGGUGUGUGGUAACGCAUGCUGGACGUAUCAGAAGUGCGAAUGCUGACAUGAGUAACGAUAAAGGGGGUGAAAAACCUCCUCGCCGGAAGACCAAGGGUUCCUGUCCAACGUUAAUCGGGGCAGGGUAAGUCGACCCCUAAGGCGAGGCCGAAAGGCGUAGUCGAUGGGAAACGGGUUAAUAUUCCCGUACUUCUUACAAUUGCGAUGGGGGGACGGAGAAGGCUAGGUGGGCCUGGCGACGGUUGUCCAGGUUCAAGUGCGUAGGCUUAAGAGUUAGGUAAAUCCGGCUCUUUCUAAGGCUGAGACACGACGUCGAGCACCUACGGGUGUGAAGUCAUUGAUGCCAUGCUUCCAGGAAAAGCCUCUAAGCUUCAGAUUGUAAGGAAUCGUACCCCAAACCGACACAGGUGGUCGGGUAGAGAAUACCAAGGCGCUUGAGAGAACUCGGGUGAAGGAACUAGGCAAAAUGGUACCGUAACUUCGGGAGAAGGUACGCUCUCGACGGUGAAGUCCCUCGCGGAUGGAGCUAUUGAGAGUCGCAGAUACCAGGUGGCUGCAACUGUUUAUUAAAAACACAGCACUGUGCAAAAUCGUAAGAUGACGUAUACGGUGUGACGCCUGCCCGGUGCCGGAAGGUUAAUUGAUGGGGUUAGACUUCGGUCGAAGCUCUUGAUCGAAGCCCCGGUAAACGGCGGCCGUAACUAUAACGGUCCUAAGGUAGCGAAAUUCCUUGUCGGGUAAGUUCCGACCUGCACGAAUGGCGUAAUGAUGGCCACGCUGUCUCCACCCGAGACUCAGUGAAAUUGAAAUCGCUGUGAAGAUGCAGUGUACCCGCGGCUAGACGGAAAGACCCCGUGAACCUUUACUACAGCUUGGCACUGAACAUUGACCCUACAUGUGUAGGAUAGGUGGGAGGCUUUGAAGCACGUACGCCAGUAUGUGUGGAGCCGUCCUUGAAAUACCACCCUUGUAGUGUUGAUGUUCUAACGUCGACCCCUAAUCGGGGUUGCGGACAGUGCCUGGUGGGUAGUUUGACUGGGGCGGUCUCCUCCCAAAGAGUAACGGAGGAGCACGAAGGUGGGCUAAUCACGGUUGGACAUCGUGAGGUUAGUGCAAUGGCAUAAGCCCGCUUGACUGCGAGAAUGACAAUUCGAGCAGGUGCGAAAGCAGGUCAUAGUGAUCCGGUGGUUCUGAAUGGAAGGGCCAUCGCUCAACGGAUAAAAGGUACUCCGGGGAUAACAGGCUGAUACCGCCCAAGAGUUCAUAUCGACGGCGGUGUUUGGCACCUCGAUGUCGGCUCAUCACAUCCUGGGGCUGAAGUCGGUCCCAAGGGUAUGGCUGUUCGCCAUUUAAAGUGGUACGCGAGCUGGGUUUAGAACGUCGUGAGACAGUUCGGUCCCUAUCUGCCGUGGGCGUUGGAAGAUUGAAGGGGGCUGCUCCUAGUACGAGAGGACCGGAGUGGACGAACCUCUGGUGUUCGGGUUGUGUCGCCAGACGCAUUGCCCGGUAGCUAAGUUCGGAAUCGAUAACCGCUGAAAGCAUCUAAGCGGGAAGCGAGCCCUGAGAUGAGUCUUCCCUGAUACUUUAAGUAUCCUAAAGGGUUGUCGGAGACUACGACGUUGAUAGGUCAGGUGUGUAAGUGCUGUGAGGCAUUGAGCUAACUGAUACUAAUUGCCCGUGAGGCUUAACCAUACAACACCCAAGGGGUUU